AUCUGAUGAUGAGGACAACUUGCACACAACUUCUUGAAUCUUUCCCAAUAUUUGUACAAAGUCUCUCCAGUAUAUUAAUGAGUGCCAUAAAUCUCUUUCCUUAUGUU